rnacentral:rRNA from 1 species
GACGAACGCUGGCGGCGUGCUUAACACAUGCAAGUCGAACGGAAAGGCCUGCUUUCCCUUGUGGAUUGCGGGUACUCGAGUGGCGAACGGGUGAGUAACACGUGAGUGAUCUGCCCCCAACUUGGGUAUAAGCCUGGGAAACUGGGUCUAAUUCCCGAUAGGACUGCAGGGUGGUGCCUGUGGUGGAAAACGAUUUUCUAGUGGUUGGGGAUGAGCUCGCGGCCUAUCAGCUUGUUGGUGGGGUAAUGGCCUACCAAGGCGGCGACGGGUAGCCGGCCUGGGAGGGUGGACGGCCACAUUGGGACUGAGAUACGGCCCAGACUCCUACGGGAGGCAGCAGUGGGGAAUAUUGCACAAUGGGCGGAAGCCUGAUGCAGCGGCGCCGCGUGGGGGAUGACGGCCUUCGGGUUGUAAACUCCUUUCGACCGCGAGGAAGCCACCUGGUUGGAAGGGUGGUGACGGUAGUGGUAGAAGAAGCACCGGCUAACUACGUG